AUGUGGAACUGCUAUCUUCACACUAGAGACUUGGACAGCAACAGAAGCCUAUCAGAUGGUAGAAGAAAACCAGAAGUGACCUGCAGCAAGACAAUAAAACCUUGGCUCUGUAGACUGCAGUGUCUACAACACACACUGAGAAAAGUAAAUGUCGAGUGCCAUAUUUUGGACUGCUUUGCCUUGUGCAUCAUCUUGCUCACCAUGCAGUUUUUAGCAAUUGAAAUCAGUUGGCCUUUAUCUGUGGAAUACCUACGUUUCCAUAUCUGCUAUCUUGGCAGGCCUCAGUUUCUUCUGGCAAGUAGAACUAGGUAUCUUCCUCCCCACCGCCCACCCUAUAACUAUUUGUAUCUACUCCCUAUCCACAGAGACUUCUGGUCUUUGGGUAAGGAGGAAGGAGACAUUUUGAGGUAGAGGUGCCUGGGGAAGAAAGAGAGAUAGGACAAAGGCCACAAAGAUGACGACAUGGGAAAGGCCUUUUUGAGCCUGCCCACACCUGUCUUCACUCCUGUGGGACAGAGUAAGGAAUCGAGGAGACUCACAAAGACGCUGGGAGGCUCUAGGCACAGGACUGGUACAUCUAGGCUUGAAGUCAAGUAUGAUGCAGAGCUGGGGAAAGGGAUGUUUUGCCCACUCCUCCCAGGAUUCUGCCUUUUGGCACCCUGACUGUACAGACAUCCUGUCACAGAAGACAGCCUUGCUUAACACCAGGCACAUGGGCAGCUACGAGGCACCUUAUGAGCCCAGCAGAGAAGAACAUGGGCACGUUAGUCCCAGAGGUCAUGGAGAUAACGGCCAAUGUUCGGACUUUGCAGCAAGACUGAGGUGCUGUCAUUAAACAGAUCUAGGCUCGGAGCUACUAAAAAUUGGCAACUAAUGGGAUCACAUGUAUACAUAGAAGCUGCUUAGUGCUUACCAAAUGUUCUCUGAAUGCCCCUACAUUUCCCAGUUUUAUUUGAAGUUGCACCAUGGGACUAGUUUAAGCCAGUGAGCUGUGGGCAGAAGUAAGAUGUGCAAUUUCUGGGUCAAAUGUGAAGAGCUGGUGUCUUUCCUCCAUCUCUGUCUUCCCUUUCUGUAGGAAAUCACAGAGACCAGGCAUUGGAGAUGAAGGGUCAGUAGAUGGAUAAGGCUGCUCUGCUUGAAUCAUGUGGGACUUAAUGUGAACCCAAAAUAAGCCUUUCUUGUGUUAAGCCAUUUAGAUUUAGGGGUUAUGAUAGCAUAUGCUGGAAAUUAAACUAUUACAACUGGGUGCCAGGCCUGUAAAGGCAAGACCCUCUUUUCUCUUUGGAAUAUAAUUCCUGCCUCAAUAUAUCUUCGGUACCCAAGAGCCACCAAUUUUACCUUUCCAGAGUCUCCAUUCCCAUGCCACAAUGUGUUAGGGACCUCAUACAAUAACCUCCUAAAACUAUUCUCCCUGCUGCUAAUCUCCCCUUACCUGUAAGUCAUUCUUUAUCCCACGAUUGGAAUUAUCUUUGUAAAACAUUGCCUAUAGUGUAAAACACAAACCCAUUAGGUACACAAAGUCACCUUGGAGGAGCCCAGGAACCAGGGUGGCAGGUAAAUGGAACAGCCUCUCAGCACAUGUCACCAUUGUCUCUGUGCAUGUCUGCCUGUGGUCCCACUCUCUAGAUUCUGAAGUGACUUUCUCGAUCACUGCAAAUAGCUUUCUUGAGUUCAGAGAUCAGGAGUCCAAAUUCUAGUUAAGUGAAUCAAGACAAUCUCAUAUUCUAACUCAAUUAAAUAUUUAAGAAAAUAACUUCAAUUCCCUGUCUCUUCUUUACAUGAAUAUUUUUCUCACUGAAACAAAUUAUAUUUAUACUUGGUAUUUAAACUUCAGUGUUUUUAAAUAACGAUUUUGGUUUUUAACCCACUCAUCAAGCAUUUGUCUGCAUUUGAGUAGCUUCAGAUCGUAUGCAAAGGGGGAGGGCAACAAACAGGUUGUUUUUAAAAAAUAGGUCUAUAUGUUUGUGUGCAUGUAUGUACACAGGUAUGUGUAUGUACAUCAUCCAUGUGUAUGUGUUCUUUAAUUAUUGCCAUGCCAGCAAUGAUCUUGUUCCUCUCUGUAUAAUCUACUGUCCUGUCAGUGAUAGUCCUUCAUAAGACAGCAUUUCAUUAGCAUAUGUUUAAGAGAUUACUAAAAUAACUCACUGGGCUUCUUCUCACACUGCAAAUGUGUGUGGCCUGCCUCUCUGUAGUGUCCCUGGGGGGGGCAUUUAUGGGCCAUAUCUGUACUUGUGGCUCUGCCUCUUUGUCCCCUAGAGCUUCUGAUGUGCUUUUGCUCAAAAUGGCUGAUGGCCAGCUAAGCCAGUCCACCAUUGUCCCUCCUCAGCUGCCUGUAGCCACAGCCACUUGUCAUGUGGCUUAGUGUUCUACUUCAGUGCAUCCUUGCACUAUCCAUUUGCCCCCUUUGCUUUGGCAGUAACUGGCUGUAUUUUAUCAAUUAAAUGUAGCAGGGCUUUACACAGCACUUUCCCCCCCUGAGUCACCCUGCAUGAAAGAAGGGAUGAAUCAGAGAUGACAACACAGUUUCAGGCAGGCGCUGACUGGCACAGAACAAAGGGACCAUGCUAUACUUUAGGGAGGUCUCUUUUGCCUGGUGAUUUGGCCCCUUGGGGACAGGCUAUUUCUUGUUUCUGAGUCAGUGACAGUUAUUUUGUUGAACUAGAGGUGUUCUAUUCAGUCCCUGGUGACAUGAAAUCAAUGAAUCUCCAGAUUUGGGGCAGGCUCUAAGGCUUGCCACAUCAGAGGAAAACACUGUUUAAGGAUUAAUGUGAUCUGGGGAACACCCAAGUCCAAACAACAGCAUUGACACAGUGCCAAUAUGUGCUUUGGUUACCCAGCAGCAUUCUGGGAUCCACUGAGAGCUGGGGCUCUUUGAUUUCUAACCUUUGAAGGGUGGGGGGAAAAGACUUGCUGGAAAGCCUUGAUUCAUGCUGUGGGUGGUGGUAAUAAGUUCAGGAUCAAAUGACCACUUCAUCUUCAAAGACUCCUGAGGCCAUGCAGCACUGAAGGAGACUGGGGUAGGAAGUGUUAUUUUAAUAGUGAUUCAAUCAAGGGCUCAAGUAACUUGUUCUAAGUGCCUUGUACCAAGUGGAUAGUGGAUCUAUCUUCUUUGUAUACACCCCAGAACUGUCCAGCUGGAGAAAUUCCAACCCAAUUCAUUAGGAAUUGUCCUAGGACUCAGUGAAGAAGCUUCCCUCCUGAAUAUGGACAUGCUUGUGAGCACCUCAGUAGCAUGUCUUCAAACAUCUGUUAUGCACACCAAAGGUGUAAGCUCACAUAUCACAUGUCCUCUCUUCCUCCUUCCACGUGCUCUUGAAGUGAUGUCAGAUUAUUUGGAGAUCCAUGCUUUCCUUUCUGACUUUUCAGCAGCUAGAAGUGAACAACAGAGGUCUCAGAAAAUGGUCCUGAAGUGGCAUUCAAGAUACCUUUUCAUUCUGAGGAGAUGCAUCUAAGCCUUCACUGGAAGAUAAUUUUAUUGACAUAACAUUUUUCAGAUAAGUUGCCUUCAUUCUUCAUGGAAGACUCCUAGGACUUUUUAAAUUCUUGAUAUUAUGCCAGGAGGAAAACAUCAGAUAGAUGCUUAUAUCUAUUAACAUCCCUCUUUGAUCACUUGCUAAUCUCCUCCUCCAGCUCAGGACUGUCUGUGGACAUCAAAGAAUAAGAAAUAGUAAACACUGGGAUCUGGUAAUCCUGACCCCUGUGCACCAGGAGGACUCUGAAGAAUUUGGAAUGAAUUUGAUAAAUGUUCUUUCUCCUUCUUUUUCUAAUUUCAUUACUUUAAGAAAGCAACUAUUAGGCCGGGCGCGGUGGCUCACGCCUGUAAUCCCAGCACUUUGGGAGGCUGAGAUAGGCGGAUCACGAGGUCAGGAGAUCGAGACCAUCUUGGCUAACACGGUGAAACCCCGUCUCUACUAAAAAUACAAAAAAUUAGCUGGGUGCGGUCGUGGGCGCCUGUAGUCCCAGCUACACGGGAGGCUGAGGCAGGAGAAUGGCAUGAACCCGGGAGGCAGAGCUUGCAGUGAGCCAAGAUUGCGCCACUGCACUCCAGCCUGGGCGACAGAGCAAGACUCCGUCUCAAAAAAAAAAAAAAAAAAAGAAAGCAACUAUUUAUUUGACUUUCACUCAGUUUUCUCACCUGAAAAAUGAACAGGUUAGGCCGGAAGGUCCCUAAGUAUUUUUCUAGUUCUAAACACUCUUAGCAUUUUCUACU
rnacentral:lncRNA from 1 species